rnacentral:rRNA from 1 species
UGAACGCUAGCUACAGGCUUAACACAUGCAAGGUCGAGGGGCAGCGGGAUUGAAGCUUGCUUCAAUUGCCGGCGACCGGCGCACGGGUGAGUAACGCGUAUGUAAUCUGCCUGUAACAGAGGGAUAACCCGGAGAAAUCCGGCCUAAUACCUCAUAGCACAUAUUAUUCGCAUGAGUUUUAUGUUAAAGAGACUCGGUUACAGAUGAACAUGCGUUCCAUUAGCUGGUUGGCGGGGUAACGGCCCACCAAGGCAACGAUGGAUAGGGGUUCUGAGAGGAAGGUCCCCCACAUUGGAACUGAGACACGGUCCAAACUCCUACGGGAGGCAGCAGUGAGGAAUAUUGGUCAAUGGACGAGAGUCUGAACCAGCCAAGUAGCGUGCAGGAUGACGGCCCUAUGGGUUGUAAACUGCUUUUAUAAGGGAAUAAAGUGAGUCUCGUGAGACUUUUUGCAUGUACCUUAUGAAUAAGGACCGGCUAAUUCCGUG